rnacentral:rRNA from 1 species
GACGAACGCUGGCGGCGUGCCUAAUACAUGCAAGUCGAACGAAACUUUCUUACACCGAAUGCUUGCAUUCACCGUAAGAAGUUGAGUGGCGGACGGGUGAGUAACACGUGGGUAACCUGCCUAAAGAAGGGGAUAACACUUGGAAACAGGUGCUAAGGGGGUACCUAUAUCUCUAAGGAUCGCAUGAUCCUUAGAUGAAAGAUGGUUCUGCUAUCGCUUUUAGAUGGACCCGCGGCGUAUUAACUAGUUGGUGGGGUAACGGCCUACCAAGGUGAUGAUACGUAGCCGAAUUGAGAGGUUGAUCGGCCACAUUGGGGACUGAGACACGGCCCAAACUCCUAACGGGAGGCAGCAGUAGGGAAUCUUCCACAAUGGGACGCAAGUCUGAUGGAGCAACGCCGCGUGAGUG